AGGAUUCCCUUAGUAAUGGCGAAUGAACACGGAUCAUCCCAGGAUGGAACUUUGGCGCGUGUACAGAUUCGCGUUGCUGUCUCC
rnacentral:rRNA from 1 species